AUCUGUGUUAAUGUUAGUUAAUAAAAACACAAUCGUUCAGUGUUUGUUCAUGUUUUUGUUGCUAUUACGUGACGUAGCGGUGUCUGACUAGGGGCAAGACGUGGGCUGAUGACGUCAUCGUCACAGAAAAUAUAUGGAUUCACUGUCAACAUGAAAAUGCAAGGGCGGCGUUUUCAAAUUUAUCCACUCUGGAACCCGGUUUCAAAAAAUAUUGUUUUACUUUCCCAAAACGCCAGAUCCCUGUGGACGAAACGCCUAUACGAUACAAAAUUUAUGCAUAUAUAGCAAAACGCAUCUCUGUGUGGGCGGGGCUUAAGUACAACACUGCCUGCAAUACUCUCCACAGGGAGAAUAUCUGGUGUCCUGAGGCUCUUGAACACAAUUUCGAUAAACAAAGACCGCAGAAAGAGGCAAGCCAUGUGCAUAAAAGAGUCAAGCGGACACAUAACGUGGGCAUUGCGGAAGCUGUAAGGCAUAAUUCAAUCCAGAAACUGGAAUAAAUUCACCUCAUAAUCAGGCAGUGAUUACUUAUCUCGUGGAGGAAUUAAAGACGUCUUUUGAAGAUGCAGACCCUGAGUCUAUAAAAGCUUUUGCAGGACUUACUAUGAAACACUGUGGAGGAAAUACACUUUGUCUCUGCCAAAAAAGUUACAGAUUAGGGACUCCAUUAUUGCUGGAGUCCAGGUUCAGGGUCAUUCAAACAGAUGCGGAGAGAGAACUGUGGCAGACAGCAAUGCUGGAACUGAUGUCUGAUGAGGAGGAUGCCAUGGCUGAUGGAAGGCCGGUGUGGGUUGUGAGAUCUCCACCUCACAGGAGCCCACAGUUGUCAGACCUUUGCCAGCAACUUCAGCGCAGAUUGGAGGUAGAUGCGCGUUCUUGCACACCAUCAGCGUGUAAUACCUAAUGAAACUGAGCAAGAAGGACAUUCAUUUGGUAGGAUACAUCAUCAUUAUACGUCUGAAUUGGUAUCAUUCCGGAAGUAUCCUAAACUGUUGGAAUUUGAUGUAUACACUCAGUGGUACUUCAGAUACGUCCGGAAAUAUGUGGUGUAUACAGGAGUUUCCUAGUAAAGAUACACCUCUUUUCAUGCAGUGACAUAUAUGAAAAAUGUUGAAGAAAAAAAAGAAAGAAUUAUUUGUGCAAAAGGCCGAUCGCUAAGUUACACUCCAUCAGAUGACAGGUGCGUCACAAUGUGCAUCACGAGAGAGCACCAGAAUUCAAAUAAACAAUAUUCCGCUUAUCUUUGACUUUUUUUUUUUAGUGGACGGCCUCAUUCUGUUUGUGACACUGUAUGCUACAAAACCAUGCUGUUUUUUAUUACCAAGACGCAGUUUUUUGAGCGUAGAUUAUUCCAUAACGGAUACUGUAUGAACAAUACUGUCCCCAAAGAACUGAGAUGAAAACAAAGGAAUUACUAUCCAUAUUACAACAUUAUUGCUUCGUUGGACUAAAAGUGCUUUAUGACAUGUCGUUCAGUGGACCCUUACCUUUCUAACUAAACCGGGAUUUACAGCUGUGGAUGUGUUUAUGACUCGCUAUUACAAUGAAUCAGUUAGAUAUCUCAGCAGGUCAAGGAUGCUCUGCCCAAGCCAGUGGAAGGAGUCAGGUCUUGCUGAUAACACACAUUGUGGUGAAAGUGGCAGAGAGAGCUAUGUGGGUGCACGCAAGUCAAUGCAGGAAGGUUCCAGCGCCACCAGAGGGUGACAGAUCAGUAAAGUGAUUGACCAGCUGCCCCGUGCCAAGGGGGAUGUCUGGCUGACUGAGGUGAACAAACAUACAGUGGUGUAUGCGAGCUGAACAAUGCAGCAACAUCACUGUGUGGGAGUGAUCUGAGGUCAUUACAGGCUGUUGUAUGACAGCAAGGGACUUAAGCUGUUAGGAAACAAGAGCCAAGAGAGAGAUCGAAAAGAAAGUGUCCUCAAUGAAAGUCCAAGCAGAACAAUCAAGUUGGGCAAGAGACAAUUAUGUUCUGAGGGAACACAGGCUGUGGAAUAGAGCGGAGAAGUUCUUUCAUGCUGUAAUUCUAGUGUUUGGAGUCAGUCUUCUUCAAACUGAAGUUGAAAUCAUGAGAUAUGAACUGAUAAGUUUCAUGAACACUACCAAGGUGAUGAUGGAAGGUGUCAAGGAGGAACUACGAGGGCUGAGGCUGACUGUACUGCAAAACUGACUUGUUCUGGACCAGCUCCCGACAUCUUCUGGGGGGCGGAGUGCAAUUGUGGGGUCUGCGUGUUGCACUUACAUUCCUGACAAUGAUGCUGAUGGCCACGUGAUAGAUGAUGGUAUUAAGAACAUAACUAAUGCAACUGACAGGUUGACAGCUAGAGAUGUAAAUGCAAAUGAUGACUGGGGAUGGAAUUGGUUUAAGGGUUUAUGGCAGAAAGCAGAAUACAUUGGGUUAAGUAUUGUCUCAACACUGGCCAUGAUUUUAUUUUUGCUGUGUAUGUGGCCUUCUGUAGUGGGAAUGAUUAGAAGAGCUGUAAAUUCAACCAUGAAAUCUUUAAUAGUUCAUCAGAUGGUAAUGUACAAUGUCUUGUGUGAAAGUAAGAAUAAUGUGAGUGUUUCUGAUAAAAAUGUUGAAGUCAGAGAGAGGCUGAAAUCUGACAUCAUUGUCCAUGUUAUGAGAUGAUACAACCCGAAGGUAAGAUAAGGAAGUUUCUUCUGUUUGAAUAUCACAAUAAGAUUUUUCAAAUAUAAGAGUUAUUGUUUUCUUUAUGGCUUGCUUAUAUGUUUGGAAUGUCUAUGUUCCAUAAAAAAACAGUGCAAAUGCUUUUUUCACCCAUAUGUGAUGGUGUGAUGGUGAUUUAAAUCCUAGUAAAUUGAAGAGGUAUCAUAUCGAUCACAAGUGCAGUAUGGAGUACCUCAAGGCUCAGUACUAGGGCUGUUACUCUUCAUGCUUUACAUAUUACCCUUGUGAGAUAU